rnacentral:rRNA from 1 species
CAACAGGGAUUGCCCCAGUAACGGCGAGUGAAGCGGCAACAGCUCAAAUUUGAAAUCUGGCCCCUAGGGUCCGAGUUGUAAUUUGUAGAGGAUGCUUUUGGUGAGGUGCCGCCCGAGUUCCCUGGAACGGGACGCCACAGAGGGUGAGAGCCCCGUCUGGCUGGCCGCCGAGCCUCUGUAAAGCUCCUUCGACGAGUCGAGUAGUUUGGGAAUGCUGCUCAAAAUGGGAGGUAUAUGUCUUCUAAAGCUAAAUAUUGGCCAGAGACCGAUAGCGCACAAGUAGAGUGAUCGAAAGAUGAAAAGCACCUUGAAAAGAGGGUUAAAUAGUACGUGAAAUUGUUGAAAGGGAAGCGCUUGUGACCAGACUUGGGCGCGGCGGAUCAUCCGGGGUUCUCUCCGGUGCACUUCGCCGCGUCUAGGCCAGCAUCAGUUCGUCGCGGGGGAAAAAGGCUUCGGGAACGUGGCUCCUCCGGGAGUGUUAUAGCCCGUUGCAUAAUACCCUGCGGUGGACUGAGGACCGCGCAUCUGCAAGGAUGCUGGCGUAAUGGUCACCAGCGACCCGUCUUGAAACACGGACCAAGGAGUCGUCUUCGUAUGCGAGUGUUCGGGUGUCAAACCCCUACGCGUAAUGAAAGUGAACGCAGGUGAGAGCUUCGGCGCAUCAUCGACCGAUCCUGAUGUUCUCGGAUGGAUUUGAGUAAGAGCAUACGGGGCCGGACCCGAAAGAAGGUGAACUAUGCCUGUAUAGGGUGAAGCCAGAGGAAACUCUGGUGGAGGCUCGCAGCGGUUCUGACGUGCAAAUCGAUCGUCAAAUAUGGGCAUGGGGGCGAAAGACUA